CCAGGUCACAGGCAGACAUUUUCCUCAAUUCUCACUGGAAAGCAUCAACACCGCAAAGAGAAGCCAUGAAGCCAGUGAUCGUGCUGUACGUUGCGUUGAUAAUGAUUGCACUGGUGUGCAAUACUGUGUGCAACAAUGCUUAUGCUAGAGAAUGUCUCUCUUCCGGUGGAAUAUGUAAGGCGUCAUGUCCAUGUCGAGUUCCAGACCCAACUAAACACUGUGGGGGUCCUAAAACUAAUGUAUGCUGUGUUAAAAAAAGCUGGUGAAGAACAUCCGUGAAGGAAGACUGUGUGGAUCAACCAACAUGCCUUAUUGUUUUUUUUCUUCUUCCAUUUAAGUUUACACAAGACAUGGAGUAAUCAUGAUUUGUGUUUAAGCCUGUUUGAUGCCAGUUUGAAUAAAAUCAAAUUUCACAA